rnacentral:rRNA from 1 species
CCUACGGGAGGCAGCAGUGAGGAAUAUUGGUCAAUGGGCGUAAGCCUGAACCAGCCAAGUCGCGUGAGGGAUGAAGGUUCUAUGGAUCGUAAACCUCUUUUAUAAGGGAAUAAAGUGCGGGACGUGUCCCGUUUUGUAUGUACCUUAUGAAUAAGGAUCGGCUAACUCCGUGCCAGCCGCCGCGGUAAUACGGAGGAUCCGAGCGUUAUCCGGAUUUUUUGGGUUUAAAGGGUGCGUAGGCGGCCUUUUAAGUCAGCGGUGAAAGUCUGUGGCUCAACCAUAGAAUUGCCGUUGAAACUGGGAGGCUUGAGUAUGUUUGAGGCAGGCGGAAUGCGUGGUGUAGCGGUGAAAUGCUUAGAUAUCACGCAGAACCCCGAUUGCGAAGGCAGCCUGCCAAGCCAUGACUGACGCUGAUGCACGAAAGCGUGGGGAUCAAACAGGAUUAGAUACCCUAGUAGUC